UACAGAGGUCUCAAGCGUUGUUCGGAUUCAUUGGGCGUAAAGGGUGCGUAGGUGGCGGGGCAAGUUUGGUGUGAAAUCCCGGGGCUCAACCUCGGAACUGCACUGAAUACUGCCUUGCUAGAGCACUGGAGAGGGAACUGGAAUUUACGGUGUAGCAGUGAAAUGCGUAGAUAUCAGGAGGAACACCGGUGGCGAAGGCGGGUCUCUGGGCCGAUACUGACGCUGAGGAGCGAAAGCGUGGGGAGCGAACAGG
rnacentral:rRNA from 1 species